rnacentral:rRNA from 1 species
UGAGGAAUAUUGCACAAUGGACGAAAGUCUGAUGCAGCAACGCCGCGUGAGGGAUGAAGGUGCUUCGCAUUGUAAACCUCUGUAGUCGGAGACAAACGUCCACCUACCGGUGGAGUGAUGGUAUCCGAAAAGUAAGGAUCGGCUAACUACGUGCCAGCAGCCGCGGUAAUACGUAGGAUCCGAGCGUUGUCCGGAUUUACUGGGUGUAAAGGGUGCGCAGGCGGACUGGUAAGUCUGAGGUGAAAUCUCGUCGCUUAACGGCGAAACUGCCUUAGAUACUAUCAGUCUUGGAUAAGCGAGAGGUUCGUGGAAUUCCGAGUGUAGCAGUGAAAUGUGUAGAUAUUCGGAAGAACACCAGUGGCGAAGGCAGCGAACUGGCGCUUUAUCGACGCUCAGGCACGAAAGCAUGGGGAUCAAACAGGAUUAGAUACCCCCGUAGUCC